rnacentral:lncRNA from 1 species
GAGGGAAGCAGGCUCCCUGAGGGGAGCCCGAUGUGGAAUUCGAUCCCAGGACCCUGGUAUCGCACUUUGAGCUAGAGGCAGAUGCUCAACCACUGAGCCUCCCAGGCAUCCCUAUAUUCUUAAUUAGAUUUAAGUAAUAUGUAAAGUGUUUUUUAAAAAGAUUUUAUUUAUUUAUUUGAGAGAGAGAGAGAGAGAGAGAAGAGAGAGCAUGAGAGGAGGAGCAGAGGGAAAGAGACACACAGAAUCCCUGCUGAGCUCGGAGCCUGUUCCGAGGCUCUAUCCCAGGAUCCUGAGAUCAUCAUCUGAGCUGAAAUCAAGAACCGGUCACUUAACCCAACUGAACCACCCAGGCGCCCCCAGUAAUAUGAUGAGAGAGUUCAUUCUUGGCUCGCUAGUCCCCCAGCAUGGUGGCAUUUGUUGCAGCUCACUGAAGGAGAGACUUUUGAUCUGUAAGGUUUUGAAAUAGAAACCGUGUCUCAGAAGAGAUCUUGGCAAUCCCAAAGGUAAUCCCUGUUCUGCAUAUACUACCCUAUGUUGAAAGGUACUGGUGCCAAAUGGCCUAUUGUGGCAAAUUGUACAUUUUUCUUAUUUGUACAUUUUUCUUAUUUUCUUAUUUGUUUUCUUAUUUGUUGGGGUCUCCUUUUGAAUCAAUACUAGCUGUUUUUCUUUUGUCAGAAUAGGGAAGAGAGCCAAUUGAUUAAAAUAUAGAAUGUAAUUGAAAUCAUCUAUCAUUUCAAAGAUAUGAACUAGCUAGUCCAAUAUUUUUUGAAGGACACAUUAGCAAAUUAGUUUACAACUUAGUUAAGCUUAUUUAGCCUCCCAUUUAGGGUCUUUCAACACACAGUGCCUCUGAAUAAAGAUGCAAAUAGCAGUUUUUCAUAUUAAACCAAGUGACAUUUGAUUUGUAGCAGCUUAUUAAUUCUGUGUUAUGACCUAGUGUUAUGGUUUGUAAAUGCUUCAGAAAUUUUGAGGGGGGGGCCAGGGAAUCUAGAGAAUAAACAUUUUAAAUUAAAUUAAUUAAAAAUCAAUUUUGGAUUAAAAGUAAAAUGCCAAGGGGCACCUCGGUGGCUCAGUUGGUUAAGCAUCCGACUCCUGAUUUUGGCUCAAGUCAUGAUCUCA